UACGUAGGGUGCGAGCGUUGUCCGGAUUUAUUGGGCGUAAAGGGUGCGCAGGCGGCCAGGUGUGUGGGGCGUGAAAGCCCGGGGCUCAACCCCGGAAUUGCACCUCAAACUACAUGGCUAGAGUACUGGAGAGGGAGACGGAAUUCACGGUGUAGCAGUGAAAUGCGUAGAUAUCGUGAGGAACACCAGAGGCGAAGGCGGUCUCCUGGACAGUUACUGACGCUCAGGCACGAAAGCGUGGGGAGCAAAAGGG
rnacentral:rRNA from 1 species